rnacentral:miRNA from 1 species
UGGGCGUGGUGGCGGGCGCCUGUAAUCCCAACUACUCGGGAGGCUGAGGUAGGAGAAUCGCUUGAACUCGGGAGGCAGAGGUUGCAGUGAGC